UCGUCUUGAACCUUCUUUACAGUAUACCUAUAAUGUCUGAGUAAAACCACAGAAUCGUUAAAACUUUCAACAACGGAUCUCUUGGUUCUGGCAUCGAUGAAGAACGCAGCGAACUGCGAUAAGUAAUGCGAAUUGCAGAAUUCAGCGAGCCAUCGAAUCUUUGAACGCA
rnacentral:rRNA from 1 species